GACGAACGCUGGCGGCGUGCUUAACACAUGCAAGUCGAACGGAAAGGCCCUGCUUUUGUGGGGUGCUCGAGUGGCGAACGGGUGAGUAACACGUGAGUAACCUGCCCUUGACUUUGGGAUAACUUCAGGAAACUGGGGCUAAUACCGGAUAGGAGCUCCUGCUGCAUGGUGGGGGUUGGAAAGUUUCGGCGGUUGGGGAUGGACUCGCGGCUUAUCAGCUUGUUGGUGGGGUAGUGGCUUACCAAGGCUUUGACGGGUAGCCGGCCUGAGAGGGUGACCGGCCACAUUGGGAAUGAGAUACGGCCCAGACUCCUACGGGAGGCAGCAGUGGGGAAUAAUGCACAAUGGGCGGAAGCCUGAUGCAGCAACGCCGCGUGCGGGAUGACGGCCUUCGGGUUGUAAACCGCUUUCGCCUGUGACGAAGCGUGAGUGACGGUAAUGGGUAAAGAAGCACCGGCUAACUACGU
rnacentral:rRNA from 1 species